UGGGGAAUAUUGCACAAUGGGCGCAAGCCUGAUGCAGCCAUGCCGCGUGUAUGAAGAAGGCCUUCGGGUUGUAAAGUACUUUCAGCGGGGAGGAAGGCGAUAAGGUUAAUAACCUUGUCGAUUGACGUUACCCGCAGAAGAAGCACCGGCUAACUCCGUGCCAGCAGCCGCGGUAAUACGGAGGGUGCAAGCGUUAAUCGGAAUUACUGGGCGUAAAGCGCACGCAGGCGGUCUGUCAAGUCGGAUGUGAAAUCCCCGGGCUCAACCUGGGAACUGUAUCCGAAACUGGCAGGCUAGAGUCUUGUAGAGGGGGGUAGAAUUCCAGGUGUAGCGGUGAAAUGCGUAGAGAUCUGGAGGAAUACCGGUGGCGAAGGCGGCCCCCUGGACAAAGACUGACGCUCAGGUGCGAAAGCGUGGGGAGCAAACA
rnacentral:rRNA from 1 species